ACAAAAUUGGCCGCUUCGGUCAUGGCCGAGUAUUGCCUGAAAAAGGGUAA
ncrna:Escherichia coli P0305260.13 algC RNA